AACAAAAGACUACGAUAAAUAAACUGCAAAACCCUCUCGGCUACGUUCGUCCUGUACUUGGCGUUCUGCGAGAUUUUAGAGGUUAAUAUUUUCACAGCUCGGACCUUAGUAAUUGUUUGUAAGGUGCGGAGUAACUUAAGUGAUCACUGAAAAAUGGAAUAACGUACGGCCAGUGGCAGAGCGAGGAAUUUGAAGAAAAGGAGAAAGAAAAGAUCAGUGGCUGAACGGGUUUCUAAUUAAUGACGUAAGGUGUGCUCGUGACGUCACGCGAUUCCCCUGACAAAGUUCAGAAUCGCCUGAUGACUCGGUGACGACCUUCGGUUCGCAACAAAUCCUUUGCCUUCUCUCUAUUCUCGAUGAGGUAUUACGGCGGACAGCAAGAAAAAAAAAAUCGGGACUGAUAACUGAUAGUAAUAUUCGAUAAGUAAAAGAGAUACAUGAUCGUGAGGUUGUCGAAGUGAAAUGAAAAUCUUGUGUCGUAUCUUAAAUAUAACUUGUCACUUGAAUAUAAAUUGAAUAAUCAGAAUGCGAAAGUGACACACUUUUUGAUUUGUCAAAAUUAUUUCGAGCGAUGUAUAGAAGCCGUUUUGAAAGAAACGAGUAAAUUCGUGGUAGAGUUAGAAGUCCCCCUAAAAAAGGAAUGGCAUUGAAGAAGCGAUAACCUUCAUUUUCUAGAUUGGAAAAAUGGGUGACUCGUAGACCGGAAAGGGCAGGUCGUUUAGAGGUAUCCACAUGUGAGAUUGAUUAGAAGUUGGGUCUUAUCUUGGG